rnacentral:rRNA from 1 species
GGGUGCUUGCAUCAUGAUUUACAUUUGAGUGAGUGGCGAACUGGUGAGUAACACGUGGGAAACCUGCCCAGAAGCGGGGGAUAACACCUGGAAACAGAUGCUAAUACCGCAUAACAACUUGGACCGCAUGGUCCGAGUUUGAAAGAUGGCUUCGGCUAUCACUUUUGGAUGGUCCCGCGGUAUUAGCUAAUGGUGGGUAACGGCUCACCAUGGCAAUGAUACGUAGCCGACCUGAGAGGGUAAUCGGCCACAUUGGGACUGAGACACGGCCCAAACUCCUACGGGAGGCAGCAGUAGGGAAUCUUCCACAAUGGACGAAAGUCUGAUGGAGCAACGCCGCGUGAGUGAAGAAGGGUUUCGGCUCGUAAAACUCUGUUGUUAAAGAAGAACAUAUCUGAGAGUAACUGUUCAGGUAUUGACGGUAUUUAACCAGAAAGCCACGGCUAACUACGUGCCAGCAGCCGCGGUAAUACGUAGGUGGCAAGCGUUGUCCGGAUUUAUUGGGCGUAAAGCGAGCGCAGGCGGUUUUUUAAGUCUGAUGUGAAAGCCUUCGGCUCAACCGAAGAAGUGCAUCGGAAACUGGGAAA